AAUCCAAGGAAAUGAAGCAGAAUUUCAAAUAUCAAACGUGGAAUUUGAUUGGCUCUAAAACCAACCACUAAAAUCAAAAGAACAUUUUGCAAAAAUAAGCAAAAAACAUAUAAUAAUUCGCAUAAAAAUCAAAUAUGAAGCACAAUCCAUCAAGACC